AGCCACGAAAUUGAGGUACGCAGAAGAUGAACAAACCUGAGAACUGAUGAUCCAAAGAAGAGUCGGAGCUCGAGCAUCACAUAGCUGUCAGCUACGGUGGAUUGUAGGCGGAUGUGUCUCAGACCUAUGUUUUUGCCGCUGGACCGUGGUUACGUUCAUCCUAGCUUGGAGGCAACGGUGUGGGUGGGUAUGCAUGUGCAAGGCGAAGAAGUGGACGAAGGCUGAAGAAGCAAUCUCUGCCUCCCUAUCGCUGCGUCCUGCUCCUCAAUAUGUCACCUUAGUCAUGGCCGCCUUAUCCCUCAUGCUGCUGAUUUGAAUCUGCCCUAAUCUUCUUCUCCUAGACUGCUCGAGCGCUUCAGCGGGUGCCUUGCCGACGACAGGGAAGGAAGGACCAGAGUAAGUAUAAUAUGGAAGUUCCUGUUCAAAUUAGUAGAAUAUGCUUACCAGGUGUUAGAAUUUAUAGAUAUAUACCACAAUUUUCACUACAGAUUAAAUAUAAUAUGAAAGUUCUUGUCAGUUUUCUUUGUAGUUAGUUUGCGACAAUCACAACAUGAUCAUUUGAAUAUUUUGUUGUAACAAAUCUAUUAUAGCUAUUGUUGUGAAAGAAAAAUCCUUAAAAAAUCACCCAAUAGCAACCCAAGGAAGUUAAGAGACAUAAAUGAUCAGAAUAUGGUUCCAUUAUGCUCCCUCUGUUCGAUAAUAUAUGACGUUUUCUGGCAGUACACAAUGCCAAAAACGUCUUAUAUUAUGGGACAGAAGCGAGUUUGUGAUUUUUUUGGUUAUUCUUGAUUCCACAUGCUUCAUUUGGGUGAAUAAUCCAUUGGCAUCCAAAUUUGGAGAUUAAUUCACCUAUGUAAUGUGCAUAAUCAAUGACACAUUUUUGCUAUGAUGAAUAUCUAAAUAAAUUUUGUGCAAUUCCAUAAAUACACAGUUAAGCAUUUUUGUUGUAAAGAUAAUGUAGAUAAUUUUUUAUAGCUUUGCAAAUAAGAUUAACCUUGGUGUAUAAAUCCGAUCAGAGUAGAGGUAGCUAUGCAAUGGUCUUGCGUCACAUCAUUAGUCUAAGGCUCUAACCACAUUCAUGCAGAAUCUAACAUCCCAACUACGCAUAUCUGUUUGUUCCAGAAGCCAAGAAAUUGAGGUACGCAGAAGAUGAACAAUCCUGAGAAUUGAUGAUCGAAUGAAGAGUCGGAGCUCGAGCAUCACAUAGCCGUCAGCUAUGGUGGCUUGUGGGCGGAUGUUUCUCAGAACUAAGUUGUUGCCGCUGGACCGUGGUUACAUUCAUCCUAGCUUGGAGGAAAGGUGCGGGAAGAUAUGCAUGUGCAGGGCGAAGAAGUGGACGAAGGCCGAAGUAGCAAUCUCUGCCUCCCUAUCGCUGCGUCCUGCUCCUCAAUAUGUCACCUUAGUCAUGGCCGCCUUAUCCCUCAUGCUGCUGAUUUGAAUCUGCCCUACUCUUCUUCUCCUAGACUGCUCGAGCAGCGGGUGCCUUGCCGACGACAGGGAAGGAAGGACCAGAGUAAGUAUAAUAUGGAAGUUCCUGUUCAAAUUAGUAGAAUAUGCUUACCAGGGGUUAGAAUUUAUAGAUAUAUACCACAAUUUUCACUACAGAUUAAAUAUAAUAUGAAAGUUCUUGUCAGUUUUCUUUGUAGUUAGUUUGCGACAAUCACAACAUGAUCAUUUGAAUAUUUUGUUGUAACAAAUCUAUUAUAGCUAUUGUUGUGAAAGAAAAAUCCUUAAAAAAUCACCCAAUAGCAACCCGAGGAAGUUAAGAGACAUAAAUGAUCCAGAUAUGGUUCCAUUAUGCUCCCUCUGUUUGAUAAUAUAUGACGUUUUCUGGCAGUACACAAUGCCAAAAACGUCUUAUAUUAUGGGACAGAAGCGAGUUUGUGAUUCUUUUGGUUAUUCUUGAUUCCACAUGCUUCAUUUGGGUGAAUAAUCCAUUGGCAUCCAAAUUUGGAGAUUAAUUCACCUAUGUAAUGUGCAUAAUCAAUGACACAUUUUUGCUAUGAUGAAUAUGUAAAUAAAUUUUGUACAAUUCCAUAAAUACACAGUUAAGCAUUUUUGUUGUAAAGAUAAUGUAGAUAAUUUUUUAUAGCUUUGCAAAUAAGAUUAACCUUGGUGUAUAAAUCCGAUCAGAGUAGAGGUAGCUAUGCAAUGGUCUUGCGUCACAUCAUUAGUCUAAGGCUCUAACCACAUUCAUGGAGAAUCUAACAUCCCAACUACGCAUAUCUGUUUGUUCCAGAAGCCACGAAAUUGAGGUACGCAGAAGAUGAACAAACCUGAGAAUUGAUGAUCGAAUGAAGAGUCGGAGCUCGAGCAUCACAUAGNNNNNNNNNNNNNNNNNNNNNNNNNNNNNNNNNNNNNNNNNNNNNNNNNNNNNNNNNNNNNNNNNNNNNNNNNNNNNNNNNNNNNNNNNNNNNNNNNNNNAGUGGACGAAGGCUGAAGAAGCAAUCUCUGCCUCCCUAUCGCUGCGUCCUGCUCCUCAAUAUGUCACCUUAGUCAUGGCCGCCUUAUCCCUCAUGCUGCUG
rnacentral:lncRNA from 1 species